rnacentral:lncRNA from 1 species
CCAAAGCUGAAGUGUUUGGUUCUGAGGAUCCUAGUCAGAGGUAUGGGCAAAUGGAUAUGCUUUAACCUUAUAACGUGUUGCUUGUAUUUAAAGGUCUACAUUUGCAUAUGCCUUUGGAUAUUGGAUAAGAAACAAAAUCUUUUAUCAAACUUUUUUUUUAAAAUAUGAUGUGUAGGGCUAGUGGCCACUCAUCAUCAUUGUAGUUACUUACCCACUCCUGUGGAAAAGAUAAAAAGAACAUACAAUUAUUACACCCAACCUACUAGAAGAUUAAUGAUCUUAAACACAUAGAAAGGUGGUUUUUGAUAUGUCAAAAACUUGGAUCAAUCAUAAAAUGUGUUUGCAGAAGUGAAAAGUUAAUAAUCUUAUGAGUCUAAAGACUUUUGUUUGUACAUCCAAAAGUCAAGCUACAACCACAUAAACAAUAGCGGAUUUUUAGUACAAAUCAAUAAGGGCACUAUCAGUGGUCCUGUUUUCUCCAUUAUUGCAUUACUAUUUUCGAUAGAAAUCAUUUCAAAAAGAAGAUUUAAGAUCAACUUAAAAUCAUUUAGACAUUGAUUGUUGUAAUAAAAUAAACCUCACGGGUUUGUUCAAAUAUGACUAUUUAAACACCAAGUCCAACAACUACAUAGCUUGUCUAAGGAAAACACAUCACCGGCAACACGUCAUCGUAUGAACGUCAUUACAAUAACGAUCAUCUGUUUGAAUUGUCAUUAGCUGUUACCUGUUCAAGUUCUAGGGAACCACCUAACCAUAAGAUUUGUUUAAUCUUUUUUUCCAGAAAGUUGCAGAGGAUCAACUACUUAGUUGCGUGCUAAGGUAACAACAUCACCAAAAUACGUCAUCGUUACUGACGUCUAUACUGAUCAUCAAUGGAAUUGUCAUUAGCCUUUUACAAUUCAAGUUCUACGCAGCACCUAACCAUAAGUUUUAUUGCGACUAUUACUA